rnacentral:rRNA from 1 species
ACKGCUCAGUAACACGUUGCUAACCUACCCUUAGGACGGGAGCACCCCCGAGAAAUUGGGGCUAAUCCCCGAUAGGUGUGGUGUCCUGGAACGGUAUCACGCCUAAAGGUCCCAACAGCAUGUUGUUGUUACGCCUAAGGAUGGGGCUGCGGCCGAUCAGGCAGUUGGUGAGGUAAUGGCUCACCAAACCUUUGACCGGUACGGGCCAUGAGAGUGGUAGCCCGGAGAUGGAUACUGAGACAAGGAUCCAGGCCCUACGGGGCGCAGCAGGCGCGAAACCUCCUCAAUGCACUGAAGUGUGAAGGGGUUACCUCGAGUGCCGUCUGAAGAAGGCGGCUUUUCCAUGGUCUAAAAAGCCGUGGGAAUAAGAGGGGGGCAAGACUGGUGUCAGCCGCCGCGGUAACACCAGCCCCUCGAGUGGUGGGGAUGAUUAUUUGGCCUAAAGCGUCCGUAGCCGGCCGAGUAAGUUUCCCGUUAAAUCCAGCGUCUUAAGCGUUGGGCUGCGGGAAAUACUGCCCGGCUAGAGAGUGGGAGAGGAAAGCGGUAUUCUGGGGGUAGGGGCGAAAUCCUUUGAUCCCCGGAGGACCACCAGUGGCGAAGGCUGCUUUCUAGAACACGUCUGACGGUCAGGGACGAAAGCUGGGGUAGCGAACCGGAUUAGAUACCCGGGUAGUCCCAGCUGUAAACGAUGCAGGCUAGGUGUUAGGGCGGCUACGUGCCGCUCUAGUGCCGCAGGGAAGCUGUUAAGCCUGCCGCCUGGGGAGUACGGCCGCAAGGCUGAAACUUAAAGGAAUUGGCGGGGGAGCAC